rnacentral:rRNA from 1 species
UGAGGAAUAUUGGUCAAUGGUCGGAAGACUGAACCAGCCAUGCCGCGUGCAGGAAGAAUGCCUUAUGGGUUGUAAACUGCUUUUAUAUGGGAAGAAUAAGGCGUACGUGUACGUUGAUGACGGUACCAUAUGAAUAAGCAUCGGCUAACUCCGUGCCAGCAGCCGCGGUAAUACGGAGGAUGCGAGCGUUAUUCGGAAUCAUUGGGUUUAAAGGGUCUGUAGGCGGGCUAUUAAGUCAGGGGUGAAAGGUUUCAGCUUAACUGAGAAAUUGCCUUUGAUACUGGUAGUCUUGAAUAUCUGUGAAGUUCUUGGAAUGUGUAGUGUAGCGGUGAAAUGCUUAGAUAUUACACAGAACACCGAUUGCGAAGGCAGGGGACUAACAGAC